UGGGGAAUAUUGCACAAUGGGGGAAACCCUGAUGCAGCGACGCCGCGUGAGUGAAGAAGUAUUUCGGUACGUAAAGCUCUAUCAGCAGGGAAGAAAAUGACGGUACCUGACUAAGAAGCCCCGGCUAACUACGUGCCAGCAGCCGCGGUAAUACGUAGGGGGCAAGCGUUAUCCGGAUUUACUGGGUGUAAAGGGAGCGUAGACGGCAGCGCAAGUCUGGAGUGAAAUGCCGGGGCUCAACCCCGGAACUGCUUUGGAAACUGUGCAGCUUGAGUGCGGGAGAGGUAAGUGGAAUUCCUAGUGUAGCGGUGAAAUGCGUAGAUAUUAGGAGGAACACCAGUGGCGAAGGCGGCUUACUGGACCGUAACUGACGUUGAGGCUCGAAAGCGUGGGGAGCAAACAGG
rnacentral:rRNA from 1 species